rnacentral:rRNA from 1 species
GUGGGGAAUCUUCCGCAAUGGACGAAAGUCUGACGGAGCAACGCCGCGUGAGUGAUGAAGGUCUUCGGAUUGUAAAGCUCUGUUAAUCGGGACGAAAGAGCCUAGUGUGAAUAAUGCUAGGAAGUGACGGUACCGGAAUAGAAAGCCACGGCUAACUACGUGCCAGCAGCCGCGGUAAUACGUAGGUGGCAAGCGUUGUCCGGAAUUAUUGGGCGUAAAGCGCGCGCAGGCGGAUCUGCCAGUCUGUCUUAAAAGGUCGGGGCUUAACCCCGUGAUGGGAUGGAAACUACAGAUCUAGAGUAUCGGAGAGGAAAGUGGAAUUCCUAGUGUAGCGGUGAAAUGCGUAGAUAUUAGGAAGAACACCAGUGGCGAAGGCGACUUUCUGGACGAAAACUGACGCUGAGGCGCGAAAGCCAGGGGAGCGAACGGGAUUAGAUACCCCAGUAGUCC